GACGAACGCUGGCGGCGCGCUUAACACAUGCAAGUCGAGCGAGAACCAGUCCUUCGGGACUGGGGAAAGCGGCGAACGGGUGAGUAACACGUGGGUAAUCUGCCCUCGGCACUGGGAUAGCCCGGGGAAACCCGGAUUAAUACCGGAUAGCCUCUCGAGCCUUCGGGCUCGUCAGAAAAGGUGGCUUCGGCUUCCGGCUGAGGACGAGCCCGCGGCGGGUUAGCUUGUUGGUGGGGUAAUGGCCUACCAAGGCGACGAGCCGUAGCUGGUCUGAGAGGACGAUCAGCCACACUGGGGCUGAGACACGGCCCAGACUCCUACGGGGGGCAGCAGUGGGGAAUCUUGCGCAAUGGGCGAAAGCCUGACGCAGCGACGCCGCGUGCGGGAAGAAGGCCGUCGGGUUGUAAACCGCUUUCAGGAGGGACGAAGCCACUCGGGUUAAUAGCCCAGAGGGUGACGGUACCUCCAGAAGAAGCCCCGGCUAACUACGUGCCAGCCGCCGCAGUAAUAC
rnacentral:rRNA from 1 species